rnacentral:misc_RNA from 1 species
AACGCACCUUGCACCCUUUGGUAUUCCGAAGGGUAUGCCUGUUUGAGUGUCAUUAAAUUCUCAACCGUACAUGCUUUUGUAUGUAUUGGCUUGGAUAUGGGGGUUUGCGGGUCUCUUAGAGAUCGGCUCCUCUGAAAAGCAUUAGUGGGAACCGUUUGUAGGGGUUCGCUUUUAUUCACUUGACGUGAUAAUUCUAUCGUCGUCUAUCAUGGAUAUUGAACUCUGAGGCUCUUGCUUCUAACAGUCUGUUAUGGACAAUGUUUAAUCUAUAUUUGACCUCAAAUCAGGUAGGACUACCCGCUGAACUUAA